UACGUAGGGGGCUAGCGUUAUCCGGAUUUACUGGGCGUAAAGGGUGCGUAGGCGGUCUUUUAAGUCAGGAGUGAAAGGCUACGGCUCAACCGUAGUAAGCUCUUGAAACUGGAGGACUUGAGUGCAGGAGAGGAGAGUGGAAUUCCUAGUGUAGCGGUGAAAUGCGUAGAUAUUAGGAGGAACAUCAGUAGCGAAGGCGGCUCUCUGGACUGUAACUGACGCUGAGGCACGAAAGCGUGGGGAGCAAACAGG
rnacentral:rRNA from 1 species